rnacentral:rRNA from 1 species
AGCGAACGCUGGCGGCAGGCCUAACACAUGCAAGUCGAACGGGCUCUUCGGAGCUAGUGGCGGACGGGUGAGUAACACGUGGGAACGUGCCUUUAGGUUCGGAAUAAGCCCGGGAAACUGGGUCUAAUACCGAAUGUGCCCUUCGGGGGAAAGAUUUAUCGCCUUUAGAGCGGCCCGCGUCUGAUUAGCUUGUUGGUGAGGUAAUGGCUCACCAAGGCGACGAUCAGUAGCUGGUCUGAGAGGAUGACCAGCCACAUUGGGACUGAGACGCGGCCCAAGCUCCUACGGGAGGCAGCAGUGGGGAAUCUUGCGCAAUGGGCGAAAGCCUGACGCAGCCAUGCCGCGUGGAUGAUGAAGGUCUUAGGAUUGUAAAAUCCUUUCACCGGUGAAGAUAAUGACUGUAGCCGGAGAAGAAGCCCCGGCUAACUUCGUGCCAGCAGCCGCAGUAAUAC